rnacentral:lncRNA from 1 species
AUGCCACUGCUACUCCUUCACUUGCUCAUUCUGCAAAAGUUUGUAGAUCUUCUGCAAGGAGAACGGCAUUGUUAACUACCUACAGGAAGUGGAGGAAAAGAACCAGGAUUGGGAGGUCACAGAACCUGAAAUCAGCAUGAUUGCCUCUGUGGACUUCGGUUUCAGUUACUCACACCUGGGCUUUUUAGAAGUAAUUUGAAUGGAUACAGUCAAAGCUCAGCCUCUAGAAGAUCCCAAAUGACCCCACUGUAGGAGUAUGAGAAGAACGUUCAGGAAGAAGGGGUUCAGGUGGUAGAUGAUAAGAAUCUACAGGUGGCACAAUAGACAUAUUACCUUCUUUGGUGGAGUCUGUAAAGACAUUACUAAAGUUUAAUAAUAAAGCAUGAAUAUUCAGACCCUUCUUUUCUGCCUUCUAAGAGUUAAUGAGUGAAAUGUUGAAUUGGAGGAAGAAGAAACAUUCAUUGACUUGUUUUAAACAAGAAAGAGAGGAGAGGUGCUCUUAACAUAAAAUGAUAGACUCAUAAGAGAGUGGGAAAGUUUGGCAUGGGCUGGAGUUUGAAGACAUUGGGGCUUUUGAAAAGAAUAUUUAUUGGGCAGCCAUCAUUAAUUUGAAGUCUAAGGUAAAUACACUUUGAAAAAUGAUUUUAAGCAGUUACUCUUUUCCUUAGUAUCGUGUUUGGCAAAUUUUUAUUUUUUUUGAAACUUAAUUGUAGAUUUAAAUAGCCUUUUAAAUUUUCAAAUAUUGGUUCAUAUUAAAUUAGAAUUUCUUCUGAAUGUGACACUGGACAGAGGCAAACCCUAGAGUGUUCCAGCUUUGUCUUGGUUAUGCUGGCAUAGUGUACAGUUAAGCAUCUAUUUUUUUCUAGUACAAAUUGUAUUAAAGUAUAAAUUAUCCAAAUUUUAUUCCUAACUGUAAAUGUCCACUCUACAUCAAGAGAAAGCCAAAAUAUUAGAGAAGCAUGUCAGCUGUAUAAUGCCUCAGAAAGAGGAUUGCAAUGGAAAUUGCAGGAGUUACCAGGGAUUUAAAAUUAGAGCAUCUGGAUUGGAAAGAGUAUUGUAAAAUCAUAAGUUCAACCAUCCAGCCAGUCAGAACUCUGCAAUGUGCAUAACAGAUGGCCACCUAUCUUUGUUGGAACCCUUCCAGGGAUGGAGAGAUCUUCACCAGGAUAGCCAAUUCUGUGUUUGGAUGAUUCUUAUCAUUAUAAUGCUUCUUGUAUUUAACCCAAAUCUUCAGUCUGACUUACAAUUGUCGAUCUUUUUUUGUACCCUUUGGGUUCAGUAGAACCUGGCUAAGAAGAGAAGCCCUAAUGUUUACUAGCUGUUGACUUAGGAAAAAUUCUUAAUGUAAAUGAGAAUCAAUUCAUGCACCUGUAUAAUGGACAUAAUAACUCCCAAAUCAUAGGUUUAUAUUAAAGAUGAAUAAAAUAAUGUAUAGUCUGGAUUCAACACAGUGCCUUGUACAUAGUAUGUUCCUAAAAAUGUUAGACUAUACCAAUGUUACUAGUGAAACUAAAUCAAUGAAAGUCAAGAUAGAGGCCAAAGCAUUUCAGGUAAUCUUGUUAGGAUUUGCCAUUCUGGUGUUAUAUUGCUUCAAGCAAUGUUUCUCCAUCUUGAAAUGAGUCUGUCCCUCUCAUCUCUGAUUGUAGGUAUAUAUGGCCUUGACUUAGCAAUCUGACUCUGAACACUUGUGCUCCCAAGCUUGCUCUCUUUGUAUUGUAUAUUUCAACACUCCAAUUCUGAUCUCUUUGUACUGUAUAUUCUAACACUGCAAUCCAGACUCAAGCCUGGUUAAGUGGACCACUGCUCUCUGGCUCCACCCUAUGCCUGGGUAGGACAUGGACAAUCACAGUUAUGGGUGAUCACUGAGAUGGGCUGUCCUUUCACUUACGGUAAAUGUUAGGAAUUCUGUAGUGCACUUUUCAUGUUCUUCAAAGAUAGGUCUUUGAAUGUGUCCCUCUUAAAUAUAAUAAAAGGUCAAAUUUUUAAUUUACCUCAUGGAAACUAGGGCUCAGAUGCUUCUGGGAGAAGACUUAGGCAGCACCCAAAUAUCUAUAUAUUUAUUUCUAUCCAAAGAGCUGCAUGGGUCUUUUUUGUUUGAGAGUCAAAGGAAACAAGGAAGGGGUAGCUGUUCUAUUACAAGGAGUAUUGUCAGUAAACAGCCUCCAUCUGACAUCUUCAGGGUCUGUCUCAACUGCAGAAAUCUACUUUGAUGAGGUCAUGCCCUUCCUGGGGAUACUACAUACAGUGACUCACCCAGGCAGGGAUGUAAUUUCCUGACCAUGCAGGUCCAAUGUAGAAAGUCUGAUAAGCAACAUUCACUUUGCUCUUUGCCACAUCAGUAGAUGCACAGUUGGGCCUACAUUGGGGUUUACCUUCUUCCUCUGCACAAUUCUGCUUAUACCCUCUUGCUUUCACAGGUGUUGAUUUCCAAGAAAGAUCUUGUUCUUCAAACUCUGUUACAGCGUCUUCUCUGGAGAAGUCAACAGUGAGAUGGGCUAAAUGAAGAAGGAGCAGCUUAUUGUCUUUGUUGGUUUUCUUUAUUUUCCUUCGAAGCAUCUGGGGGAAGAGGAAGACAAUGGAUGAGAUGGCGUAUGUUCUUUCCGCCCUGUGAAUGAAUCAGAUUUGAACUCCUAAGCAAAAUAGAAAAUGCAGAAAUGGUGCUCAGGCAAAACCUGAGAGACACCGGGCUCAAGCGACUCUCCUCUGAAGUCCAUCUGAUAAAGUCUGAAUUAUGGAUAAGUCCUUUCCCCCUCAAUAGUCUACUGCUUACUAAAGUGUAGCUCAAUGACUCUGUGGGCUUGGGUAAUCAGCAGGUAAGCAUAGCUAUGCCCAAUGAAGCAGGGGCUGUGAGAAGAAGCCUUGAAGAGUACCUAAAGUAGAAAAUAAGUGAACUUUCUCCUAAGCCCAUAGGAAACAUCACUAUCCUGCUGAAGGCAGGGCAGAGGGAACACAGCAGAGUAGGCUCAGAAUAACUGGGAUUUGGGCACUGAUAUUAAUGUCACCAUAUCUACACUUAUUGAUUGUUGAGAUUAUACAUUUGGCUUGAAACCACAGGAACUAAUAUACUCUAAAUAUAAGCUGAGAAAAAUUAAAAAUAACCACAACUACAACAGUAGAAAGAGAAAAUAUAUGAAUGCCAAGAAUCUAAUGUGUAAAUUAACUACAAGGGUUUAGAAGUUUUGGGCAUCUCCCUGGGGAUUAGCUGUGCUCAGUCUCCCCUCCAGGAAAUCAUUUACAACUCUAUGUCUGUUACCCCAAAAUGACUUAAAUGAAGUUUAGGAUAAGACAGAGACAAGUUCAGAACAAGACAUGGGUGAGGUUCAGAAGAAUGAAAUUGAAAUUAUAUGAAUUUCCAAUUGUUAGAGAUGCAUGAGUGAGAUACAGGUUUUCAAGUGUUGUGAUGUCAUACCAUAAAAUGAUUAUAAACAUUUAGGAAACAAUCUCUCCUGUGGAAUCAGGAAUCAUUACUAAAUAUCACAAUUAUAGUGGAGACGCUGAAGAAGUCAAUAUAUGUGUUCUGAAAAACUUGAUUAAAUAAACUUCAAGGACACAGAGAAAGGCGCUGUGAUCUGUUCUCUGCAAAGGGCCUGAUAUAUUUAGAUUUUCAUUAAGAUGGGCUGAAACACAAAAUGUCUUCAGUUAUCCAGGAAAUGUAAUUAACCACUUCUUAAGAUUUCUACUUAAUCAAUGCUAUUUUUCCCCAUAUUUGGUUAAUUGAACUGUCUGCCUCCACUAUAGUCUGAGGUAUGUGGCUAAUUUUGGCCAGCAAUAUCAAGGACAUGAAACUCAAGGUAAUUUUUUUCCCUCCAAAAUAGCCUCUAUAUUUUCG